rfam:Bacteroides coprophilus CAG:333 genomic scaffold, scf5
AGUAAAACAAAGGGGUGCCCUACCUGACGGGCUGAGAUCAUACCCUACGAACCUGAUGCGGUUAGCACCGACGAAGGGAUUGUUGCUUAUCGGCAU